rnacentral:rRNA from 1 species
GACCAGACUCCUACGGGAGGCAGCAGUGGGGAAUAUUGCACAAUGGGGGAAACCCUGAUGCAGCGACGCCGCGUGAGUGAAGAAGUAUUUCGGUAUGUAAAGCUCUAUCAGCAGGGAAGAAAAUGACGGUACCUGACUAAGAAGCCCCGGCUAACUACGUGCCAGCAGCCGCGGUAAUACGUAGGGGGCAAGCGUUAUCCGGAUUUACUGGGUGUAAAGGGAGCGUAGACGGCAUGGCAAGUCAGAUGUGAAAGCCCGGGGCUCAACCCCGGGACUGCAUUUGAAACUGUCAGGCUGGAGUGCAGGAGAGGUAAGUGGAAUUCCUAGUGUAGCGGUGAAAUGCGUAGAUAUUAGGAGGAACACCAGUGGCGAAGGCGGCUUACUGGACUGUAACUGACGUUGAGGCUCGAAAGCGUGGGGAGCAAACAGGAUUAGAUACCCGUGUACA